UUGAACGCUGGCGGCAUGCCUUACACAUGCAAGUCGAACGGUAACGCGGGGCAACCUGGCGACGAGUGGCGAACGGGUGAGUAAUACAUCGGAACGUGCCCAGUAGUGGGGGAUAGCCCGGCGAAAGCCGGAUUAAUACCGCAUACGACCUACGGGUGAAAGGGGGGGAUCGCAAGACCUCUCGCUAUUGGAGCGGCCGAUGUCAGAUUAGGUAGUUGGUGGGGUAAAGGCCUACCAAGCCAACGAUCUGUAGCUGGUCUGAGAGGACGACCAGCCACACUGGGACUGAGACACGGCCCAGACUCCUACGGGAGGCAGCAGUGGGGAAUUUUGGACAAUGGGCGCAAGCCUGAUCCAGCCAUGCCGCGUGCGGGAAGAAGGCCUUCGGGUUGUAAACCGCUUUUGUCAGGGAAGAAACGCUCCGAGAUAAUACCUCGGGGUAAUGACGGUACCUGAAGAAUAAGCACCGGCUAACUACGU
rnacentral:rRNA from 1 species